rnacentral:lncRNA from 1 species
GGGCGGGUUGUAGCAGGGUGAAGGGGCGUCGGAGGUAGGGGAGGGGCGGCUUGGUGGAGCUGGGCAGAGCUGCUGCUGGCCCUCUGUCCUUCAGGCGGAGGAGUUGGCACUUGUCGGCACAGUGUUACCUGUGUCUGGUUUCCUUUGCGGCAGCUGGUGGAGAAGGAAGAAGAGGAGCGGUGCGGAACUGCGAGUCAAGAGUGAGCCGGAAGAGCAACGGAGGAGGGCGGGAAGCCUGAAGAGGAGGAAAGAGAAGGGCACUCUGGGCAAAGGGACGCCCCUGUAAGCAGGGCUGCGGUCCAGGAGAAGAGCAGGCGUGGCCCCUUUGGUGGCCUCGCUCGCUUGGCGCUGGGCGACCUCCCUGUAAGCAGGGAGCAACGGAGGAGGGCGGGAAGCCUGAAGAGGAGGAAAGAGAAGGGCACUCUGGGCAAAGGGACGCCCCUGUAAGCAGGGCUGCGGUCCAGGAGAAGAGCAGGCGUGGCCCCUUUGGUGGCCUCGCUCGCUUGGCGACCUCCCUGUAAGCAGGGCUCGGGUCUUUGCUUUGUUGGCCUUUUGCCACGGUGCUCCUUUGGCUGCCCGGAGAGAGCGGCGACCCUGUAAGGAGGGUGCGAGUCGCUGUCUCCGCACCUGAGGGGGCCACGGAGCUCACUGGACCCCAGGCCCACCCUGUAAGCAGGGCAGGGCCCUUUUCCCCCGGUGGCCAGGCUGCGGUCCAUGAGAUGUUCUGGCAGUGUCAGAAUACGUCCUCUAAAGUAAAAGAAAAAAUAUUUCUGUAAUACUAUUUGUUAGGUUUUUGUAAAUCAUUCACAUUUUUAGCUAAGGAGGUACCCCUUCUGAAUUUCCUUUUGAAAUAUAGUUCUUGUACCGUUGUUUUACCGUCUAUUAGGAGACCUCAUCGCUCACAACCUGCGUAGUAAGAGUUUUCCAUUCGUCUUAACUGGACUUUACAGCUGCUUUCAGGCUUGGGAACAGUACUCAGGGCUGGGAUUUUGAGUUUAUUUGCUUUGUUCUAAAUCCGGGGUUUUUUUUCAGCAUC